rnacentral:rRNA from 1 species
UACGAGAGGCCCAAACGUUAUUCGGAAUUACUGGGCUUAAAGAGUUCGUAGGCGGCGCAGAAAGUAGGGUGUGAAAGCCCUCGGCUUAACCGAGGAAUUGCGCUCUAAACUACUGUGCUUGAGGAACCUAGAGGUGAGCAGAACUGAUGGUGGAGCGGUGAAAUGCGUUGAUAUCAUCAGGAAUACCGGAGGCGAAGGCGGCUCACUGGGGGUCUUCUGACGCUGAGGAACGAAAGCCAGGGGAGCGAACGGG